UUCCGUGACUCCCGUCUCCUCUCCCCACUCUGUUCUCUUCCCUUGCUCUAAUGAUCCGUCUGUCUUGUCUGACUGUCUCCACUCUCUAUAGUUUAUACUCUCCAAUCUCCACCUUCAUCUCUUCCCCUUCUCACUCUUAAACCUUCAAUAGAUUCUUUCCUCAACGGGCGACGCCUUCGCGGUGGGGUUUCGGUCAAACUCAAGGCCUAUCGCCAGCAGCUCUAUCACCGAAACUGAAACGAGAACUUUUUCCCCGACAGCCCAGACUAGCGCCGUCUUCGUCAAUCCGGUUUAUGUCCCCUCGUCGGCUAAUUGAGACACUCAUACUCUGAUACUCCACAGUCCUCAUAGCUGGAGUUGGUAAUUAGAGUUGAUGUUUAAUGAUUUUUCAAUAAUUUUAGUCGAAAAUUAGUAAUUUUUGUAUUCAAGGCUUAGUUUGACUUGGGUGUUAAUUUGCCAAAACUAGAGAGCCACCCAUAGAAACUAAGACAUCGUGGUACACUUUCUAAGGGAUUUAUGCAGUUAAGAAUGGGUAAGGAUUUCCAAAAUUUAGAUUGAUAUCAGUGUAGAUGGGUUGAACUUGAUAUUUCUUUUGUGGCAGCACAUUAAAUAUAGGAAAUGGUGCAUGUAAAGUCUGAGAAAUUAUUAGUGCGAUUGGACGUACUUAAGGAUCAUUGAGAUAUGUAAGAAAAAGGGAAUAAGAUUUUGAGUGGUAUUAAAGGUAAGCUCCACAUACAUGAGCAUGGAUAUGUUUAAUAUGCUUUCCCUUAAUUGAGUAGAAUUUAAUAAUUAUAUAUAGAUUUCAAAGGAAUAUGUGAAUUGAAUUUUAAGCAUUCAUAGAUGCUACCUAAAUUGAGCAUUUAAUGUCAUGUACAAGUUGCUAGACACAUAUAACUCGAGACCUAGCACUAAAAAUUCAGCUGCGAUAAUUAAUUCUUGAUGGUAAGAAUGGUAAGUAAAAUGUGAGAUUAAAGUUAUGAAUCUAUUUGUUGGCAGCAUGUGUAAAGUACACAGCAUUGAAAUUUAUUAAAUGUUAUUAAAUGUUAUUAAAUGUUUUUGGGAUUAAUUGUUGCCAGGAGAAUUGAUAGAAAAAUUGAUAGUUUUUACGCCUGCAGUCCAAAUAUUUUUUUUUGUGUGGAAGAAUGAACCUUAUUUCAUAGGGUGGCGAUUUCCCUUUUUGUUGUGAUUCUGUAAAUGGUCACUGGUUUAGCUUUUCGGUAGCAUGAAGAGCAAGCAAAAGUCUUUGUAUAGCAAUUCAUGGACACGGGAAUAAAAUAAAAGAUAAUGCUUAUAUUAUUAACUUUCUUUACCUUACCUUUUACUUUCUAAAUAAAAAGAUAAAAUGUUUGCUAUUAGUGAUAGAUUCUUAAUUAUAUUUGCUCAUAUUUUUUUAUUAUGUGCUAUUAGUGGUAGAUUCUUUAAUAGAUUUUUCAUUCUUGAAUACCAUAUUUGCUAAUUAAUUAAUUCUUUUUGAGUGAUAGAUUGAAGAUUUCAAUGGCAAGUGAAAGCGAUAAUCCGACUCCUACUCCUAGUGAUGCUGCUACGCAGCCUAUGCCUAUUGGGAUGCCAUCAUCGUUACCAACACCAACUACACAGCAAACUAUAAUCUGCACUAAUGAAAGUGAUGUUAUCAAUUCUAAGAAACGAAAAGCACUUCCACCGAGGUAUGAAGUUUAGAAACACUUCACCAGAUUCGUAAAUGAUCAAGGUGAACAAAAAGCUAGAUGUAAUUAUUGUGAUAGGGUAUUUUUUGCUAAUACUAAAUAUAAUGACAUAACUUCAUUGAAGAAUCACAUGAAUUCUUGCAAAAAGUUUCCUAGUUCUGUUAAUGAUUCUACUCAAACUGAGUUAGUUUUUCAAUCAGGGGAUGGGUCAAUAGGAACUUGAAAAUGUAGUCAAUAAGCCAUUAGAAAGUAUCUAGCUAAAAUGAUCAUCAGAGAUGAGUUACUUUUCAGAUUUGUAGAAGGGGAAGGAUUUAAGGAAUUCAUGUUAACUUCAUGUCCUAGAUUUAUUGUGCCAUCACGAUGGACUGUUGCUAGAGAUUGCUUUAACCUUUUUGUUGAUGUAAAGAACCAUUUCAAGCAUAUAUUGAGAACAUCUUCUUUUAGAGUUUUUCUAACCACAAACACAUGGACAUCAAUUCAAAGCGAGAAUUAUAUGUGUCUUACAGCUAACUUUAUAAACAAUGAUUAGAAAUUGCACAAAAGAAUUUUAAACUUUUGUCCCAUUUAUAGUCAUAAAGGGGAGGCCAUUGGGAAAAUGAUUGAUAAAUGUUUGCGUGAUUGGGAGAUUAGUAAGGUUUCACUAUUACUGUUGAUAAUGCUAGUUCCAAUGAUGUUGCAAUAUCACAUAUGAAGAAAAAAUUGAACUUAUCAGAAAAUAGUUUUUUAGAAAGCAAAUUUCUACAUAUGAGAUGCAUUGCACAUAUCAUUAAUCCCAUUGUCACUGAUGGAUUGAAGGAAAUGAAUGAUUCAAUUGCUUGUAUUAGAGGGGCAGUUAGAUAUGUGAAACAGUCACCUGCUAGGUUAGUAAAGUUCAAAGAAUGUGUUGAGUCUGCAAAUAUUCAAUCAGAAAAUUUGUUGUGUUUGGAUGUUAGUACUCGAUGGAAUUUCACUUAUUUGAUGUUAGAAAUAGCUCAAAAGUUUGAAGAAGCCUUUAAUUUAUUUGAGGAAACUGAUUCUUAGUAUAGAACUGAUUUGUUGAUGGGAGAUGAGAUACAUGAACAUGAGGAUUGGGAAAAUGUGAGAAUGUUGAAUCUUUUCUUGAAAUAUUUUUACACACUCACAGUAACAGUUUCAGGUACUUCUUAUGCCACAAUUAAUACUUUUCUUGAUGAUAUUUGUGGUAUUUAUUGCAUUUUGAGAGAUAGACAAAGACAUCCUGAUGUUGAGUUGCAAACAAUGGCAAAGAAAAUGAAAGAAAAAUUUGAUAAGUAUUAGGAAAAUAUAGAAAAAAAUGAAUAAGCUGCUUUACGUUGCUUCUAUUCUUGAUCCAAGGAAGAAAAACGUAUUUGUAGAAUUUUGUUUUAGAAAAAUGUAUUCAAAUGAGCAAGCUUCAUCGAUUUGUGUGAGUUUGAAAAAAAUAAUAAAAAAGUUGCUUGUUGAAAACCAAAAAAACGUACAGUCUCCUCUUGAGAAAGUUGGUGAUAGUAGUCAAUCCCAAGUGAGCCAAAUUUCAGAAUUUGAUGAUGAUAUUGACUCCAGUGCUAGUGUUGCUCUUCUGAAUGAAUUUAAGAGAUAUAAAAUUACAAUUGUUAGGGAAGAGGAUAAAUCAAAAUUGGAGAAAUAUUUGAGUUUAAAUGAGCCUGAUGCAACCGAUAGCGAUAAUUUUGAUGUUCCCAUUUGGUGGAAACUCAAUAGUAAUAGGUAUCUUACUCUUGCCCUACUAGCUCGUGAUGUAUUAGUGAUUCCUCUAUCCACAGUUGCUUCGGAAUCAGCUUUAACACCGGUGGUCGUGUGCUUGAUGUAUAUAGGAGUUCUUUAAUGUCUAAGAUGGUGCAAGCCCUUAUUUGUGCUCAAGAUUGGCUACGUGGAUCUUUUUAUUAUCUUCAUGACACUGAGAAUGAUUUGACAGAGCUUGAGAAAGUUGAUGAAGGUGCUGUAUGAUUGAUUGGUAGAACACUGGGAGCAAGAAAAAGAGGUUUUUUUUUUUUUUCUUAUAAUGGGGGGAGUGGAGAAUCAUAUAUCUGAUGAUAUUUUGGAGGAUUUAAGGUUUUAUGGUCGGUUGAAGAAAGAGCGCGGCAUGUUGGAAAAUUUUAGGCCUAGUUGUAGUAGUAAUGGUAAGGGAAAUAAGAAGAUAAAUAACAAACAAUGCAAUGAAAUUGACAUGGACGAGAGUUUAAAGGAUUCGGAUUAUGAAACAUUUAUCAGUAGUUUAGAGCAGUAUGGUUAUGGCCAUGAUCAUGAUCAUGAUCGUGAGAAAGGGAAGGAGAGGGAUCCUCAGUAUGAGAUGUUUUUGGAGAAUCUUAAACCGGAUGGGACAUCAUACUUAGCUGAAAUUCCAUUGAGUUGUGGCCUUUCAAUUAUAAUUAGGUAUGAAGAAAAGGAACAAGGGUCCUUUGAGAAUGUGGAAAGAAUGAGAAAUUUUAAGAGCAAUUCAAAAAGGGUAAAGGCUGAGGUUCCAGACUAUUUGGAUGGGUUUUCAAGGAAAGCAAAGACUGAUUUGAGAAGGAUAAAGGCUAAGGUUCCAGAAAAUUCAGGUGGUUUUUCAAGGAAAGCAAAGGCUGAGAUGUCGAAAGCUGUGAAGAAGGAUUUGAAGAUUGGAGAAAAGAAAAGAAAGCGGAAAGUAAGAGAUGUUCCGACUGGGGAAAGAAAGAGUGCAGGAGAUGAGAACCAAGUAAAAGAGGAAGCUGAGGAUGAUUCUAUUCCUCCUAGGUCAAGUGGAGAACCUUCUAAGAAGAUGAAUCUUGAUAUGGUAGAUGAAAGCUGGGAAGAGUUUUUGAAUUCUCGGUCUAAGCGUGGCGAGAAAGUGGUAUUUAGCGAUGAAAGUGGUCAUGAAGGUAGACAUUGGAAGGAUGAUGAGAGUUCUUCUGAUGUGGAAAUACUUGCAUCAGACAAUAUUCCUUUUCAUGAAGGAGGUUAUACACCAUUUGUACCAGCAAAGUCCUAUCAAUCCUUGACCGGUGAUGAGAGUUGGGACGGCAUAAAAAAUUCUAGCCUGUCUCAGUUUAGGGAGAAGCUUAUGAAUCUUCUUAAAAAGCCUUAUGACCAAGAGGAGUUUGAUUAUCUUUGGCGAGAAGUAACUUACAAGAAACCAGUGCAGGGUGUUAGAGACUUACGUAAUGGACGAAUGAAAGCAUAUUCAACCAAAACUGAUGGAAAAUCAUACCUUGAUUGGUACAAAAAACUAAAAAUUAAAAUUGAUGAAUUCAGGUGUGAUCGACAUAAAAUUUUAUGUCUCUUACGUGGAUUUUUCUUUUGGUUGGAGGUGAGUGUUUUAUAUCAUCAGUGCAUCUUCUCAUUUUCCUCCUGUAUCCUGCCUAGGCCUCUUAGAUGCUAACAAAUUUUCCUAGCAAAAUUCAGAGCCGGGUUAAAAAAUGGUGGACUGGGGAACAGGGAGAAGAGCAGAAUACUGCUCAUGAAGGUUCAUUUCAGCCUUGGUUGGACUCUUUAUAUUUGAAUGCAUUGGAUGGCCAGAGAUUUUCUCUGAAUUGAG